CUGAGCUCAGCCCCUAGGCGACUUAAUGGGCUUUUAAAAAACCCCUUUGUAUUGGAUCCAUUCUUCUUCCCAAAGCUUGCUGGCCCCGCUCCAAGGGGAAACCUUUGAUUCUACAAAUACACCACAAUUAUCAUCCCGAGGAGUCUCAGCUAUCAGGCUCCCCGCCUCCAAAAGAUCAGCAGGAUGCCAGAGAGGUGCUUAAAUCAUUUCAUCCUAAGAAAGCCCUGGGCUGUAACAGCUUCCCCGUUGCUCGGAAAACGCCACCCCUCUCCCAAAAGCUUGGCUCCAUUUUUCUCCCAGCGAUGCCGUCGCUAGUGGAGGCAGGGAGGGCAGUGCUGCAGAAACCAGGCCACUGGGCUUCCCAGUGAUUUCAUCAGUCCUGGGACCCAGCUCGUGGAGAUUUAUGAGCUCACAAGAAUCUCGCCUUGGAGUUAUCUCCCCCUCCCCGCUCUUAAUGGCUCUGCAGAAAGGGAUUCAGCGAUAGAGCCCUGCUGGGUACGUAACAAGCUCGCUCUGUUUGACAGUUGCAAAUAUUUUUCUCCAACAUUGCACAGGUCCGUGUGCUGCUCGGGCUGCUCUCGCCAGCAUUUCCACCACCCAGCACUGGGAAGCUCGACUUGGUGUGGGGGAGAUGGAAACCGAAAUCUUGCCAAGCACUGCAUCCACUCCCUGACUUAUCCCUUGCUCACGACUCCCCUAAGCUCUCCUCCAGGUAAUACAAAUCCUGCCCUUCUGCAAUGCUCUCCAGUCCAGUGCUGGGGUUUUUGAAGGGAUUGUGUGCUCCACUUCCAGCAGGAGUCCAGCACUUCUCUCCUUGCAGAAAUCCCCUUUUAAAGCACGUCAUCAGUACUCUUCUGCAGCUGUUUUUCUUAGUAGUCUAAAUAAAGCUUUCAAGUUACGACUCCUUGAUGUGAAG
rnacentral:lncRNA from 1 species